ACGGGUGAGUAACACGUGGGCAACCUGCCCUUGAGACUGGGAUAACUUCGGGAAACCGGAGCUAAUACCGGAUAAUAUAAGGAACCUCCUGGUUCCUUAUUGAAAGAUGGUUUCGGCUAUCACUUAAGGAUGGGCCCGCGGCGCAUUAGCUAGUUGGUGAGGUAACGGCUCACCAAGGCGGCGAUGCGUAACCGACCUGAGAGGGUGAUCGGCCACACUGGGACUGAGACACGGCCCAGACUCCUACGGGAGGCAGCAGUAGGGAAUCUUCCACAAUGGACGAAAGUCUGAUGGAGCAACGCCGCGUGAGUGAUGAAGGCCUUCGGGUCGUAAAGCUCUGUUGUUAGGGAAGAACAAGUGCGAGAGUAACUGCUCGCACCUUGACGGUACCUAACCAGAAAGCCACGGCUAACUACGUGCCAGCAGCCGCGGUAAUACGUAGGUGGCAAGCGUUAUCCGGAAUUAUUGGGCGUAAAGCGCGCGCAGGUGGUUUCUUAAGUCUGAUGUGAAAGCCCACGGCUCAACCGUGGAGGGUCAUUGGAAACUGGGGAACUUGAGUGCAGAAGAGGAAAGUGGAAUUCC
rnacentral:rRNA from 1 species